rnacentral:rRNA from 1 species
UACAGAGGUCUCAAGCGUUUGUUCGGAUUCAUUGGGCGUAAAGGGUGCGUAGGUGGCGUGGUAAGUCGGGGUGUGAAAUUUCGGAGCUUAACUCCGAAACUGCAUUCGAUACUGCCGUGCUUGAGGACUGGAGAGGAGACUGGAAUUUACGGUGUAGCAGUGAAAUGCGUAGAGAUCGUAAGGAAGACCAGUGGCGAAGGCGGGUCUCUGGACAGUUCCUGACACUGGAGGCACGAAAAGCGUGGGGGAGCAAACAGG